rnacentral:tRNA from 1 species
AGGAAUGUAGCUCAGUGGUAUAGCACUUGCUUCAUAUGCCUGCGGCCCUGGGUUUGACUCCCAGCACCUA